rnacentral:antisense_RNA from 1 species
CUUCAGCGAGCCCAGCCACAGCGGCCGGUCGGCGGUCCUGGCCUGACCGUAGGUGGACAGCAGUGCGUCCGCCUC